AGAGUUUGAUCAUGGCUCAGAACGAACGCUGGCGGCAUGCCUAACACAUGCAAGUCGAACGAACCCUUCGGGGUUAGUGGCGCACGGGUGCGUAACACGUGGGAAUCUGCCCUUUGCUUCGGAAUAACAGUUAGAAAUGACUGCUAAUACCGGAUGAUGUCGUAAGACCAAAGAUUUAUCGGCAAAGGAUGAGCCCGCGUAGGAUUAGGUAGUUGGUGGGGUAAAGGCCUACCAAGCCGACGAUCCUUAGCUGGUCUGAGAGGAUGAUCAGCCACACUGGGACUGAGACACGGCCCAGACUCCUACGGGAGGCAGCAGUGGGGAAUAUUGGACAAUGGGUGAAAGCCUGAUCCAGCAAUGCCGCGUGAGUGAUGAAGGCCUUCGGGUUGUAAAGCUCUUUUACCAGGGAUGAUAAUGACAGUACCUGGAGAAUAAGCUCCGGCUAACUCCGUG
rnacentral:rRNA from 1 species